GCUUCUGGGAACCGGGUUUUGUAGUCGCACACUACUAAAAUAUAUUUAUGCCCAGUGCGGCUACGUUCGACAGGACCCACUAUGUCAACCGCUAUUCUGGAAAAAGGCUCUUCCACUACAGGCAAAGACUGCGAACCCUUUGUGGCCUUGUCAAAGCAGACACGCAGACUGGGGUCGUCCCGCUGAGCGGAAGCUACAUCACUCGGUUCCUUGGAUGAUGGGCAGCCAGGAAUACCUCAGCCAGCUCCGCUGCUUCUUUGGAAGUCUUUGGCCAAUGCUCCUCUACCCAUGUAUGGAUUUUAAUAUCA